AUGCAGGGCAGGCGGAGUGGGAGGUUCUUGGACACAAUCCCCAGGAUGGAACGCCCUACACAUCUGUGAAGCCCAAUAGACAAAGAUCAUUGACUGUCUGAGCCCCCCAGGAGGUAUCCCAUCCACCAGAACCAGUGAGUUCGAAUCAGUCUGAUUGUGCUCUGAGUUGGAGGGGGAACAGCUUGAGGACCUAGGGGUUCUGCCCAACACCCAGACGUGGAUCCACCUGAUGUCCUCCACUACCUGUUCUCCAGGACCUAGGGGUUCUGCCCACCACCCAGACGUGGAUCCACCUGAUGUCCUCCACUACCUGUUCUCCAGGACCUAGGGGUUCUGCCCACCACCCAGACGUGGAUCCACCUGAUGUCCUCCACUACCUCUUCUCCAGGACCUAGGGGUGCUGCCCACCACCCAGACGUGGAUCCACCUGAUGUCCUCCACUACCUGUUCUCCAGGACCUAGGGGUUCUGCCCAACACCCAGACGUGGAUCCACCUGAUGUCCUCCACUACCUGUUCUCCAGGACCUAGGGGUUCUGCCCAACACCCAGACGUGGAUCCACCUGAUGUCCUCCACUACCUGUUCUCCAGGACCUGGGGGUUCUGCCCAACACCCAGACCCACCUGAUGUCCUCCACUACCUGUUCUCCAGGACCGAUAGGGGUUCUGCCCAACACCCAGACGUGGAUCCACCUGAUGUCCUCCACUACCUGUUCUCCAGGACCGAUAGGGGUUCUGCCCAACACCCAGACGUGGAUCCACCUGAUGUCCUCCACUACCUGUUCUCCAGGACCUGGGGGUUCUGCCCAACACCCAGACCCACCUGAUGUCCUCCACUACCUGUUCUCCAGGACCGAUAGGGGUUCUGCCCAACACCCAGACGUGGAUCCACCUGAUGUCCUCCACUACCUGUUCUCCAGGACCGAUAGGGGUUCUGCCCAACACCCAGACGUGGAUCCACCUGAUGUCUUCCACUACCUGUUCUCCAGGACCUAUAGGGGUUCUGCCCAACACCCAGACGUGGAUCCACCUGAUGUCCUCCAUUACCAACCACCCUCCAACUUUUCAUUACAUCAGCUACUGUUAUUGUCAUGUCAUUAUCUGCUAAGAAAGAGCAAGACAACUAUCAUACUGGGCACAUCAUGUGAGAUCCACUGAUUAACUAAAAACACUAGCACUGCAAACACUCAGAACAAAGAGAGCAGCAGUCCCUGGACUUUGCAGUCUCCCUCUUCAAGUACCCCAUCCGAGACUGGCUGCCUGUUGAGAACAAGUGACAGGCAGAACCUCCCACCCACACAGCAACCACCUCCUCUAUAUUCCAUACACCAGAAUUUAGUAUUUUAGUCUAUGAUUGCCAUGUGACUGUACCAAAAAAUAUCAAAGUUUAUGUAUUAAAAUCUUAAAUAUUGGCAGGUUGGUUUUCACAGCUGUUUCACAAGGUGAUCAUUGUAAGUUGUAAGGUGUCUUUGAUGGUAUUUAAUUGUUCCACAUGAUGCAUCGUUGUAGGGUGUACUAAUGAGCUAUGCGAGAUAGAAAAAAAAUGAAUCAUACUAGAGGACUACUGAAAUGAUAUUACUUCAGUAUAGAUGAGGGAAGCGCAGGUUAAAAUAAGAACAUGACAGCCAGACAAGCCAGUGUAUGAAUCAAAUGGAUUUGCAUAUGAAUGGAGUGGCAAUUUGCUGACUUUGUGAUCUGUAAGGUAAGUAACAUUAAUGUGUUAAGUUGAUAACUCGUUUUCUUUGCUAUUUCUGAAAAGUAGCAAUGUUUAGGACAUGGAUUUCAUGUUUUAAUGUUAACAAGGUACCCAAAAGUAUUUCAAAGUAAUGUUUCAAUUUUGUUAGCUAAACAAAACUUGUUUAAACAGUGACAUUUUUGUGGAACUCAGCCUUGUUUGCAUAACGAUGAUGAAAAUAAUGUAUUUUACACUGUAAUGAUUUCCAAAAUUCUAAUCAUUAGGCCAUCACACUGUUGAUAAAGCAACGGACGCUCAUAGUUUAUUGAUUCCCAAUGUGACGCAAUGGCACACAUUUCAAGUUUUGAGGGAGCAUGCAAUUGGCAGGCUGACUGAAGGAAUGUCCACCAGAGCUGUUGCUAGAGAAUUCCAUGUUAAUUUCUCUACCAUAAGCCGUCUCCAACAUUGUUUUAGAGAAUUUGGCAGUACGUCCAAUUGGCCUCACAACCGCAGACCACGUGUAACCACGCCAGCCCAGGACCUCCUUACUGAUGUCAACGUUGUGAACAGAGUGCCCCAUGAUGGCGGUGGGGUUAUGGUAUGGUCAGGCAUAAGCUAUGGACAACAAACACAAUUACAUUUUAUCGAUGGCAAUUUCAAUGCACAAUGAAACCGUGACGAGUUCCUGAGGGCCAUUGUCGUGCCAUUCGUCCUCCGCCAUCACCUCAUGUUUCAGCAUGGCCCAAUGUCGCAAGGAUCUGUACACAAUUACUGGAAGUUGAAAAUGUCCCAGUUCUUCCACAGACAUGCCACCCAUUGACAUGCCACCCAAUGUUUGGGAUGCUCUGGAUCAAUGUGUACGACAAUGUGUUUCAGUUCCCACCAAAAUCCAGGAACUUCUCACAGCCAUUGAGGAAGACUGGGACAACAUUCCACAGGCCACAAUCAACAGCAUGAGGUAAAUGGUGGUCACACCAGAUACUGACUGGUUUUCUGAUCCAUGCCCAUACCUUUUUCAAAAAGGUAUCUGUCACAAACAGAUACAUAUCUGUAUUCCCAGUCAUGUGAAAUCCAUAGAUGAGCGUCUAAUGAAUUUAUUUAAAUUGAUUGAUUUCCUUAUAUGAACUGUACCGCCCUUGCUGUCUCUGCCUGGCCAGUUCCCCCCUCGCCACUGGGAUUCUCUGCCUCUAACUCCUGAGGUGCUGACCUGUUGCACUCUUGACAACCACUGGGAUUAUUAUUAUUUGACCCUGUUGGUCAUCUAUGAACAUUUGAACAUCUUGGCCAUGUUCUGUUAUAAUCUCCACCUGGCACAGCCAGAAGAGGACUGGUCACCCCUCAUAGCCUGGUUCCUAUCUAGGUUUCUUCCUAGGUUCUGGCCUUUCUAGUGAGUUUUCCCUAGCCACUGUGCUUCUACACCUGCAUGGCUUGUUGUUUGGGGUUUUAGUUUGGCUUGGUUUCUGUACAUCACUUUGAGAUAUCAGCUGAUGCAAGAAGGGCUUUAUAAUACAUUUGAUUUAACUCAGUAACUCAGUAAGAUUGAAAUUGUUGCAAUUAUUUUUGUUCAGUGCAGAAACAGCAGGUGUUGUGUUAUCCAUUGCUGUUUUCAGAGUUUGAACAGAAGUGAGAGAUCCUAGAGUAGUGUUGGCAUAAAGUCUGAAAACUGAUAUACCCCCCCCCCUCUCUCUCUUUCUUUCUUUUGUGUUUUUCUUUUACUCUCUUUCACUCUUUCUUUCUUUCGCUCUCUCUUUUUGUGCGGUGGAUGAGGGGGGCUUGGUUUUAGCUUUC